rnacentral:rRNA from 1 species
UAACACAUGCAAGUCGAACGAAGUAGCAAUACUUAGUGGCAGACGGGUGAGUAACGUGUGGGUAUCUACCCUUUGGCCUGGAAUAACACGAGGAAACUUGUGCUAAUACCGGAUAAGUCUUUACGGAGAAAGCUUUAUGCACCAUUGGAUGAGCCCGCACUUGAUUAGUUUGUUGGUAGGGUAAUGGCCUACCAAGACUAUGAUCAAUAGCUGAUUUGAGAGGAUGAUCAGCCACAUUGGGACUGAGACACGGCCCAAACUCCUACGGGAGGCAGCAGUGGGGAAUCUUGCACAAUGGAGGAAACUCUGAUGCAGCGAUGCCGCGUGAGUGAAGAAGGCCUUUGGGUUGUAAAGCUCUUUCGUCGGGGAAGAAAAUGACUGUACCCGAAUAAGAAGGUCCGGCUAACUUCGUGCCAGCAGCCGCGGUAAUACGAAGGGACCUAGCGUAGUUCGGAUUACUGGGCUUAAGAGUUCGUAGGUGGUUGAAAAAGUUGGUGGUGAAAUCCNAGAGCUUAACUCUGGAACUGCCAUCAAAACUUUUCAGCUAGAGUAUGAUAGAGGAAAGCAGAAUUUCUAGUGUAGAGGUGAAAUUCGUAGAUAUUAGAAAGAAUACCAAUUGCGAAGGCAGCUUUCUGGAUCAUUACUGACACUGAGGAACGAAAGCAUGGGUAGCGAAGAGGAUUAGAUACCCUCGUAGUCCAUGCCGUAAACGAUGUGUGUUAGACGUUGGAAAUUUAUUUUCAGUGUCGCAGGGAAACCGAUAAACACACCGCCUGGGGAGUACGACCGCAAGGUUAAAACUCAAAUGAAUUGACGGGGACCCGCACAAGUAGUGGAGCAUGUGGUUUAAUUCGAAGAUAUGCGCAGAACCUUACCAACACUUGACAUGUUCGUCGCGACUCUAAGAGAUUAGAGUUUUCGGUUCGGCCGGACGAAACACAGGUGCUGCAUGGCUGUCGUCAGCUCGUGUCGUGAGAUGUUGGGUUAAGUCCCGCAACGAGCGCAACCCUCACUUUUAGUUGCCAUCAUUAAGUUGGGCACUCUGAAAGAACUGCCAGUGAUAAGCUGGAGGAAGGUGGGGAUGACGUCAAGUCCUCAUGGCCCUUACGUGUUGGGCUACACACGUGCUACAAUGGCAUCUACAACAGGAAGCAAAACGGCAACGUUAAGCAAAUCCCGAAAAGAUGCCUCAGUUCGGAUUGCACUCUGCAACUCGAGUGCAUGAAGCUGGAAUUACUAGUAAUCGUGGAUCAGCGUGCCACGGUGAAUGCGUUCCCGGGUCUUGUACACACCGCCCGUCACACCAUGGGAGUUGGUUCUACCUUAAGGCAAGGUUUCAAACCCUUGACCACGGUAUAGUCAGCGACUGGGGUG